UAAACUUACAUCUAAACAAAACUCAAUCUAUUUGUGGCAGCUAUAGUGGUAUAUGAGAGGGUAGAGGAUGACUAGGACGUGGUGAGGGUCAUCCCACAACCCUAGUAUGUGCCCCCUAUUGGGCCCUACUUGAUAGAUGGCCCAUCGGGCCAAAAUCAGGUGACGCAGCACCAUGGACAGAAAAGGUCUCUGUAGUAAAUCAAUGAUUGCGGUUGCCUCAGAAAAGAUAUGGAUAUGAGUCUCGAUUCAUAUGAAAAUAGACUUGAUAAUAUUUCCAUGAAGUACUUAAACACCCC
rnacentral:lncRNA from 1 species